rnacentral:rRNA from 1 species
GGGUAAGGAGGCGAACCGGGGGAACUGAAACAUCUAAGUACCCCGAGGAAAAGAAAUCAACCGAGAUUCCGAAAGUAGCGGCGAGCGAAAUUGGACUAGCCCUUAAGCUUUACACGCGUUAGACGAACGGUCUGGAAAGUCCGACGAUACAGGGUGAUAGUCCCGUAGUUGACGACGUGUGUUCAGUGAAAUCGAGUAGGGCGGGACACGUGAUAUCCUGUCUGAAUAUGGGGGGACCAUCCUCCAAGGCUAAAUACUACUGACUGACCGAUAGUGAACCAGUACCGUGAGGGAAAGGCGAAAAGAACCCCUGUGAGGGGAGUGAAAUAGAACCUGAAACCGUGUACGUACAAGCAGUAGGAGCAGGCUUUGUCCUGUGACUGCGUACCUUUUGUAUAAUGGGUCAGCGACUUAUAUUCAGUGGCAAGGUUAACCAUCUAGGGGAGCCGUAGGGAAACCGAGUCUUAACUGGGCGUUCAGUCUCUGGAUAUAGACCCGAAACCAGGUGAUCUAGCCAUGGGCAGGUUGAAGGUUGAGUAACAUCAACUGGAGGACCGAACCGACUAAUGUUGAAAAAUUAGCGGAUGACUUGUGGCUAGGGGUGAAAGGCCAAUCAAACCUGGAGAUAGCUGGUUCUCCCCGAAAGCUAUUUAGGUAGCGCCUCGGACGAAUACUACUGGGGGUAGAGCACUGUUAAGGCUAGGGGGUCAUCCCGACUUACCAACCCUUUGCAAACUCCGAAUACCAGUAAGUACUAUCCGGGAGACACACGGCGGGUGCUAACGUCCGUCGUGGAGAGGGAAACAACCCAGACCGCCAGCUAAGGUCCCAAAUUACUACUAAGUGGGAAACGAUGUGGGAAGGCUCAGACAGCCAGGAUGUUGGCUUAGAAGCAGCCAUCAUUUAAAGAAAGCGUAAUAGCUCACUGGUCGAGUCGGCCUGCGCGGAAGAUGUAACG